rnacentral:rRNA from 1 species
GACAGAGGGUGCAAACGUUGUUCGGAAUUACUGGGCGUAAAGCGAGUGUAGGCGGUUUCCUAAGUCAGGGUGUGAAAAGCCCCCGGGGCUCAACCCCGGGAAGUGCACUUGAAACUGGGAAGGCUAGAGUACUGGAGAGGUUGGUGGAAUUCUCGGUGUAGAGGUGAAAUUCGUAGAUAAUCGAGAGGAACACCGGUGGCGAAGGCGGCCAACUGGACAAGAUACUGACGCUGAGACUCGAAAGCGUGGGGAGCAAACAGG